rnacentral:lncRNA from 14 species
GGCAAGGUAGCACGAAGCAGGACAGAGGAAGAGCCCUUGCACUGCCACCAUGUUUGCUGCAAGGACAGUCCUGCUACUCACCCUGCUCCUCGCUUUCUCCCUGCACCACACUGCAGGCCACACAUCACCCAGAGAAUGCUGCGACAGGUAUGCGCGGAAAACGGUCCGUGUGACGAGCUUCUACAAGACCCCCCAAGGAUGCUCUCUGCCUGCAGUUGUGCUUGUGACUGCCACGGGUGACACAGUCUGUGCCAACCCCAACAAGACCUGGGUGAAGACAGCCAUAGAAAAUCUUCAAAGGAAAAAAUGAAAUCCCCCUUCUGCUGUCCACCAUUGGACUUGCCCAUCUAGUUCUGUCUCUGGAGGAAGCUGAUGGUGCUCGUGGCGCUUCUCUGAAGGGUCCCAUGGCAGUGGGCACUAUCACUGCAGGAGGAGCCAGUCCAGACCACCCCAGGACCAGUGUAACGGUGGCCACCAAGUUGCUCCACUGUCACUACCCUGCCAAGAUGUACCCAGUGGAG